GUUAAGUUUAAGUUUAAUUAACGUGCCAGGUUCGUUUGAAAUCGUGCCCCCUUUAAAUUGUCAUGAAAGAUCUUACCAUCCGUGGGGACUCUUCACCUUAACGCCGGCUUUGAUCGUCUUACAACAAGCAACAGGUUUCUCGUGCUUGUGCUUCCCAGGCGACACAACGAGAAAGCCAGCGAAGAACACCGAGUAAGAAACUACUUCCGAGACAAUUGGCCGAUGAUGAAAAAGUGGAUGCGGCCCGGUGAACAGGGAUCAAGAUGGCCGAGUCAGAGGCGCCACGAGGUGAAACGAGGCGAGCAGAUCGGUCAGAGGAACGUCGAAGGAAGAGCGAACGAAGGGUACUGUCUCUGGCAAAAGUUGUCGAUCAUAAGGGAAACUUAAAUGUGGUACGUACAUGGAUCAACCUUGGAUGGAACAUCGUCCGGCUUCUUCGUUUCAUCAACAGUAAGCAAACAAAGAUUAUAAUCUCGCGUUUAAUAUCAACGAAGGAAUAAACUAUACUAGUGCCUCCAUUAAACUGGUAAUGGUGUCGUAGAAAAAUGUGACACGUCAGCUAUGAUGAAACAUUUUUCAUUAGAAUUCACCUGAAGUUUUAAUUUCUGUGCUUAUAAUCUUUUCACAUAUUGUCGAAUAUAUUUUCUUAUAGUCACUGUCAAAUUAUCUACAAUUCUUCAGAUUUCUAUUGUAGAAUAAUAUCAUUUAUUCUGUUUGCAAAAUAAUUUUACG